rnacentral:rRNA from 1 species
UUCCGGUUGAUCCUGCCGGACCUGACUGCUAUCGGAUUGAUACUAAGCCAUGCAAGUCUUUGUAGUAAUACAAGGCAUACGGCUCAGUAACGCGUAGUCAACCUACCCUAUGGAUGAGGAUAAUCUCGGGAAACUGAGCAUAAUACUCAACAGAUCAUCAAUUCUGGAAUGGUUGAUGAUUCAAAUGAUUUUUCGCCAUAGGAUGGGACUGCGACCUAUCAGCUUGUUGGUGAGGUAAUGGCCCACCAAGGCAAUUACAGGUACGGGCUCUGAGAGGAGAAGCCCGGAGAUGGGUACUGAGACAAGGACCCAGGCCCUAUGGGGCGCAGCAGGCGAGAAAACUUUGCAAUGUGCGAAAGCACGACAAGGUUAAUCCGAGUGAUUUCUGCUAAAGGAAUCUUUUACCAGUUCUAAAAAUACUGGUGAAUAAGGGGUGGGCAAGUUCUGGUGUCAGCCGCCGCGGUAAAACCAGCACCUCAAGUGGUCAGGAGGAUUAUUGGGCCUAAAGCAUCCGUAGCCGGCUCUGUAAGUUUUCGGUUAAAUCUAUAUGCUCAACAUAUAGGCUGCCGAAAAUACUGCACAGCUAGGGAAUGGGAGAGGUAGACGGUACUCGGUAGGAAGGGGUAAAAUCCUUUGAUCUAUCGAUGACCACCUGUGGCGAAGGCGGUCUACCAGAACAUGUUCGACGGUGAGGGAUGAAAGCUGGGGGAGCAAACCGGAUUAGAUACCCGGGUAGUCCCAGCUGUAAACGAUGCAGACUAGAUAAUGCAUUGGCACAUAGCCAGUGCAGUGUCUCAGGGAAGCCGUUAAGUCUGCCGCCUGGGAAGUACGUACGCAAGUAUGAAACUUAAAGGAAUUGGCGGGGGAGCACCACAAGGGGUGAAGCCUGCGGUUCAAUUGGAGUCAACGCCGGG